GACGAACGCUGGCGGCGUGCUUAACACAUGCAAGUCGAACGAAGUGGCGAACGGGUGAGUAACGCGUAAUCAACCUGCCCUUCAGAGGGGGACAACAGUUGGAAACGACUGCUAAACCCGCAUACUGAAGGAGGGGAUUGCGUCUGAUUUGCUAGUUGGAGGGGUAACGGCCCACCAAGGCGAUGAUCAGUCGCCGGGCUGAGGUGAUGGACGGCCACAUUGGGACUGGGACACGGCCCAAACUCCUACGGGAGGCAGGAGUGGGGAAUCUUCGGCAAAGGAGGAAAGUCUGACGGCGCAACGCCGCGUGGGUGAUGACGGGCUUCGGGUUGUAAAGCUCUGUUAAUCGGGACGCGGUACCGGAAUAGAAAGCCACGGCUAACUACGUGCCAGCAGCCGCGGUAAUUC
rnacentral:rRNA from 1 species